GGCCACGUAAAUAUCCUCACAAUAUCCCAAUACCAACAAGCCCCGACAGAAAAUUGUCUGGAUACUUAGUAUUUAGUUUUAUGCUUUCAUGGGAUGGUAAAAGAUUUGUUCAUCCAGUUUGCAGCGAUGGUUACGAGCUAAGGAAAAAGUUUUUGAUACACAUACUCAAGUAUCUGGCUAAUGAAGUUGAAGACAACAUUCCUGAGAUCGUGCGAGAAUACCUUAGACGCGUCAACGGACCAUGGCUUUAAUAAAUAGUGUAUUCAGUCAUUUCUCUUCUACAAAAUGAAUUGUGCGAAGUGGAUCUUUAAAUAUUUUAAGUAUUAAAUAUUUAUUUUAUAUACUUUAAUAUUUGCAUGCAUUAUUUACACGUAUAUGCAUUUGACACUAUGUUAAA